rnacentral:rRNA from 1 species
AAUCCAUAGGUUAAUGAGGCGAACCGGGGGAACUGAAACAUCUAAGUACCCCGAGGAAAAGAAAUCAACCGAGAUUCCCCCAGUAGCGGCGAGCGAACGGGGAGGAGCCCAGAGCCUGAAUCAGCAUGUGUGUUAGUGGAAGCGUCUGGAAAGGCGCGCGAUACAGGGUGACAGCCCCGUACACAAAAGCGCAUGUGCUGUGAGCUCGAUGAGUAGGGCGGGACACGUGGUAUCCUGUCUGAAUAUGGGGGGACCAUCCUCCAAGGCUAAAUACUCCUGACUGACCGAUAGUGAACCAGUACCGUGAGGGAAAGGCGAAAAGAACCCCGGCGAGGGGAGUGAAAAAGAACCUGAAACCGUGUACGUACAAGCAGUGGGAGCCCCACCACCAAAGCAUUUGCUGUACCGCGUUGACGGAGCGAAGCGACGUCAAACCGAUAAAACAGCAGUGUAAAGUGAGCCGCAGGGCGCUUUGCGCGACAGCGCAAAGGCAGGCGGUUUCGCGUAGCGAAAGCGAAUGCUUUGGGGUGGGGUGACUGCGUACCUUUUGUAUAAUGGGUCAGCGACUUAUAUUCUG